CUAGUGAACCAUCAACCUGGAUAUCAACAUUCACACAUUCUCAAUCAUCAACCACAAUCAAUCAUCAACAACUCGUCAUGCAAUAAACUUGAACCAUUAUCCGAAUAAGUGUACAAGCCAAGCAUAGACGCAAACAUAAAUUCAACCUAUACUACUAAUUCAAAGUACAAAAAAAAAAAAGAAAAAGAAAAAUCCGUGUCAUAUGUUGGCAUCUAUCUAUAGAUACUCUCAGCGCAGAUCCUCAUCUGAGUCAUCAUCAUCCUCAUCCUCCCAGGCAUCCUCAAAGUCUUCAUCUUCCUGGUCAUUGUCCUGUCCUCCUGAAGUUCCAG
rnacentral:lncRNA from 1 species